UACGUAGGGCGCAAGCGUUAUCCGGAAUUAUUGGGCGUAAAGAGCUCGUAGGCGGUUUGUCGCGUCUGCCGUGAAAGUCCGGGGCUCAACUCCGGAUCUGCGGUGGGUACGGGCAGACUAGAGUGAUGUAGGGGAGACUGGAAUUCCUGGUGUAGCGGUGAAAUGCGCAGAUAUCAGGAGGAACACCGAUGGCGAAGACAGGUCUCUGGGCAUUAACUGACGCUGAGGAGCGAAAGCAUGGGGAGCGAACAGG
rnacentral:rRNA from 1 species